rnacentral:rRNA from 1 species
AGCGAACGCUGGCGGCAGGCCUAACACAUGCAAGUCGAGCGCCCCGCAAGGGGAGCGGCAGACGGGAGAGUAACACGUGGGAACGUGCCCUUCAGUUUGGAACAACCAAGGGAAACUUUGGCUAAUGCCGGAUACGUCCGUAAGGAGAAAGAUUUAUCGCUGAAGGAUCGGCCCGCGUCUGAUUAGCUAGUUGGUGGGGUAAUGGCCCACCAAGGCGACGAUCAGUAGCUGGUCUGGGAGGAUGAUCAGCCUCACUGGGACUGAGACACGGCCCAGACUCCUACGGGAGGCAGCAGUGGGGAAUAUUGGACAAUGGGCGCAAGCCUGAUCCAGCCAUGCCGCGUGGGUGAUGAAGGCCUUAGGGUUGUAAAGCCCUUUCGGCGGGGAAGAUAAUGACGGUACCCGCAGAAGAAGCCCCGGCUAACUUCGUGCCAGCCGCCGCCGUAA